CUGACGUGGAUAAGAAUCAGCCCGGUCCAGUUCUGCCUUUUAUAUGGGUCGAGCCCACUGAUUCAGCCCAUUUCAAAUUUUUUCCCUGUUAGUUCUGAUUAGCAACAUGGGCCAGGCCCAACAAUUCUCUUUGUUUUUGUCAAUGAUGUUUUUCCGUUCAAGUCAGGCCCAAUAUUUUCAAGCUUUUUCAUUCCUGCGCCUUGGCCUUUCCACAUUUAUUUCUUUAUGUUUUAUUUUUUACCUAAAAUAUAUUUGUCAAAUAUAAUUUGGGCCUUGGCCUCUUUAAGGUCUAACUCCAGCCCAUUUCACGAACAUUUUCAAACUAGCUUGAAUAAAAAUAUGAAUCAAGUUACUACCAAUUAGCUGAGUGUUACAGAAAUAUCUCAAAUCACACAUUCUACAAAUUUCCGUCACAUCCGUAUUUUAUACAAGUCCAAGCAACCUACAGCAUGUUGUAUUCAAGCGUACAGCUGCUGAAAAACUCCAGGAUAGUGAAAAAAAUAGAACUAGCCUAUCUGGUACUUCACAGCAACCAAACAUGUAAUCUACUUAAUGGAAAUAUUUCUUCUCCAAGUCCCACUCCUCCCUUAGCAAUGACAGGCUGAUGCAAAACAUCUGAGCAUUCAAAAGAGAACAAAAGAAUAUGGCUAUUCAUCAAAAUUGGGAAUUGAACUGGCACAUAUGACAAACUUAGCAGCAAACGAGCAUGGAAUGUUUCACAUACACGACAAGGUUUAAAAACCAUCAUUCAAAGUUGCAGCAGAUCGAAGUUCCAUUUGAGUAUAAGGAAUAACAUUCAUAUUCAAUCAAUAGUACCUAUUAAACUACCAGGUGCAUGAUUGAAUUAAACAGACACUAGCUAUUCAUCUUGCCAUC